GGGAAACGGGUUAAUAUUCCCGUACUUGGUGUUACUGCGAAGGGGGGACGGAGAAGGCUAUGUUGGCCGGGCGACGGUUGUCCCGGUUUAAGCGUGUAGGUGUGUGUUCCAGGUAAAUCCGGUUCACUUUAACACUGAGGCGUGACGACGAGGCACUACGGUGCUGAAGCAACAAAUGCCCUGCUUCCAGGAAAAGCCUCUAAGCAUCAGGUAACAUCAAAUCGUACCCCAAACCGACACAGGUGGUCAGGUAGAGAAUACCAAGGCGCUUGAGAGAACUCGGGUGAAGGAACUAGGCAAAAUGGUGCCGUAACUUCGGGAGAAGGCACGCUGACACGUAGGUGAAGUGAUUUACUCAUGGAGCUGAAGUCAGUCGAAGAUACCAGCUGGCUGCAACUGUUUAUUAAAAACACAGCACUGUGCAAACACGAAAGUGGACGUAUACGGUGUGACGCCUGCCCGGUGCCGGAAGGUUAAUUGAUGGGGUCAGCGCAAGCGAAGCUCCUGAUCGAAGCCCCGGUAAACGGCGGCCGUAACUAUAACGGUCCUAAGGUAGCGAAAUUCCUUGUCGGGUAAGUUCCGACCUGCACGAAUGGCGUAAUGAUGGCCAGGCUGUCUCCACCCGAGACUCAGUGAAAUUGAACUCGCUGUGAAGAUGCAGUGUACCCGCGGCAAGACGGAAAGACCCCGUGAACCUUUACUAUAGCUUGACACUGAACAUUGAGCCUUGAUGUGUAGGAUAGGUGGGAGGCUUUGAAGUGUGGACGCCAGUCUGCAUGGAGCCGACCUUGAAAUACCACCCUUUAAUGUUUGAUGUUCUAACGUGGACCCGUUACCCGGGUUGCGGACAGUGUCUGGUGGGUAGUUUGACUGGGGCGGUCUCCUCCUAAAGAGUAACGGAGGAGCACGAAGGUUGGCUAAUCCUGGUCGGACAUCAGGAGGUUAGUGCAAUGGCAUAAGCCAGCUUGACUGCGAGCGUGACGGCGCGAGCAGGUGCGAAAGCAGGUCAUAGUGAUCCGGUGGUUCUGAAUGGAAGGGCCAUCGCUCAACGGAUAAAAGGUACUCCGGGGAUAACAGGCUGAUACCGCCCAAGAGUUCAUAUCGACGGCGGUGUUUGGCACCUCGAUGUCGGCUCAUCACAUCCUGGGGCUGAAGUAGGUCCCAAGGGUAUGGCUGUUCGCCAUUUAAAGUGGUACGCGAGCUGGGUUUAGAACGUCGUGAGACAGUUCGGUCCCUAUCUGCCGUGGGCGCUGGAGAACUGAGGGGGGCUGCUCCUAGUACGAGAGGACCGGAGUGGACGCAUCACUGGUGUUCGGGUUGUCAUGCCAAUGGCACUGCCCGGUAGCUAAAUGCGGAAGAGAUAAGUGCUGAAAGCAUCUAAGCACGAAACUUGCCCCGA
rnacentral:rRNA from 3 species